UGGGGCAUAUUGGACAAUGGAGGGAACUCCGAUCCAGCAAUUCUGUGUGCGUGAAGAAGGUUUUAGUACUGUAAAACACUUUUAGUAGGGAAGAAAAAAAUGACGGUACCUACAGAAGAAGCAACGGCUAAAUACGUGCCAGCAGCCGCGGUAAUACGUAUGUUGCGAGCGUUAUCCGGAAUUAUUGGGCUUAAAGGGCAUCUAGGCGGUAAGACAAGUUGAAGGUGAAAACCUGUGGCUCAACCAUAGGCUUGCCUACAAAACUGUUGAACUAGAGUACUGGAAAGGUGGGUGGAACUACACGAGUAGAGGUGAAAUUCGUAGAUAUGUGUAGGAAUGCCGAUGAGGAAGAUAACUCACUGGACAGAAACUGACGCUGAAGUGCGAAAGCUAGGGGAGCAAACAGG
rnacentral:rRNA from 1 species